CCGCGCGUUCCUGCGGAAACCGGGCGUGGGCAGGUGGCCAGGAGGGCGCCCGUUACCUGUUGCCAAGUUUAGAAGUUCUUUAAGACGCUGAUUUUAUUAUACUCGUUUGUAGACGUGGCCCGGCUCUAUGGGGAAACUGACUUGCAAGGAGCCAGAUGUCUCACCAGUAAUUGUCCAAUUGAUGCCAACCACUGCCACAGGACUGCGGGAUGGGUGACACAAAUCUGCAGAUCCCAGUGCAAAGUGAAAUUGCAAGACCCCUCACUCAAAAACACAGGGAUAUGUGUGGGUCUACUGCAGACCCUUACAGGUACUGGGGACCUGCACCCCAGGACUCAGUGUGGAUGCGUGUUUUGGAACAAGAUGUCAGCAGUUGCUGGGCAAAGACAAGAAAAUACGAAG